UACGGAGGGUGCGAGCGUUGUCCGGAAUCACUGGGCGUAAAGGGCGCGUAGGCGGCCUGAUAAGUAGGGGGUGAAAUCCUGCGGCUUAACCGCAGGGCUGCCUUCUAAACUGUCAGGCUGGAGCACAGUAGAGGCAGGUGGAAUUCCCGGUGCAGCGGUGGAAUGCGUAGAGAUCGGGAAGAACAUCAGUGGCGAAGGCAGCAAUUUGGCCCGGUAUCGACGCUCAGGCACGAAAGCAUGGGGAUCAAACAGG
rnacentral:rRNA from 1 species